AUUGAACGCUGGCGGCAGGCCUAACACAUGCAAGUCGAGCGGAUGAAGGGAGCUUGCUCCUGGAUUCAGCGGCGGACGGGUGAGUAAUGCCUAGGAAUCUGCCUGGUUGUGGGGGAUAACGUCCGGAAACGGGCGCUAAUACCGCAUACGUCCUGAGGGAGAAAGUGGGGGAUCUUCGGACCUCACGCUAUCAGAUGAGCCUAGGUCGGAUUAGCUAGUUGGUGGGGUAAAGGCCUACCAAGGCGACGAUCCGUAACUGGUCUGAGAGGAUGAUCAGUCACACUGGAACUGAGACACGGUCCAGACUCCUACGGGAGGCAGCAGUGGGGAAUAUUGGACAAUGGGCGAAAGCCUGAUCCAGCCAUGCCGCGUGUGUGAAGAAGGUCUUCGGAUUGUAAAGCACUUUUAGUUGGGAGGAAGAGCAGUAAGUUAAUACCUUGCUGUUUUGACGUUACCAACAGAAUAAGCACCGGCUAACUUCGUG
rnacentral:rRNA from 1 species